rnacentral:rRNA from 1 species
UGACGAGUUUGAUCCUGGCUCAGGACGAACGCUGGCGGCGUGCCUAAUACAUGCAAGUAGAACGCUGAAGACUUUAGCUUGCUAAAGUUGGAAGAGUUGCGAACGGGUGAGUAACGCGUAGGUAACCUGCCUACUAGCGGGGAUAACUAUUGGAAACGAUAGCUAAUACCGCAUAACAGCAUUUAACACAUGUUAGAUGCUUGAAAGGAGCAAUUGCUUCACUAGUAGAUGGACCUGCGUUGUAUUAGCUAGUUGGUGAGGUAACGGCUCACCAAGGCGACGAUACAUAGCCGACCUGAGAGGGUGAUCGGCCACACUGGGACUGAGACACGGCCCAGACUCCUACGGGGAGCAGCAGUGAGGAAUAUUGGACAAUGGGCGCAAGCCUGAUCCAGCCAUGCCGCGUGCAGGAAGACGGUCCUAUGGAUUGUAAACUGC